rnacentral:rRNA from 1 species
GACGAACGCUGGCGGCGUGCUUAACACAUGCAAGUCGAACGGAAAGGCCCUGCUUUUGUGGGGUGCUCGAGUGGCGAACGGGUGAGUAACACGUGAGUAACCUGCCCUUGACUUUGGGAUAACUUCAGGAAACUGGGGCUAAUACCGGAUAGGAGCUCCUGCUGCAUGGUGGGGGAUGGAAAGUUUCGGCGGUUGGGGAUGGAAUCGCGGCUUAUCAGCUUGUUGGGGGGGUAGUGGCUUACCAAGGCUUUGACGGGUAGCCGGCCUGAGAGGGUGACCGGCCACAUUGGGACUGCGAUACGCCCCAGACUCCUACGGGAGGCAGCAGUGGGGAAUAUUGCACAAUGGGCGGAAGCCUGAUGCAGCAACGCCGCGUGCGGGAUGACGGCCUUCGGGUUGUAAACCGCUUUCGCCUGUGACGAAGCGUGAGUGACGGUAAUGGGUAAAGAAGCACCGGCUAACUACGUG